GUCGAACGGAGCACCCUUGAUUGAGGUUUCGGCCAAAUGAUAGGAAUGCUUAGUGGCGGACUGGUGAGUAACGCGUGAGGAACCUGCCUUUCAGAGGGGGACAACAGUUGGAAACGACUGCUAAUACCGCAUGACGCAUUUUGAUCGCAUGGUCGAAAUGCCAAAGAUUUAUCGCUGAAAGAUGGCCUCGCGUCUGAUUAGCUAGUUGGUGAGGUAACGGCCCACCAAGGCGACGAUCAGUAGCCGGACUGAGAGGUUGACCGGCCACAUUGGGACUGAGAUACGGCCCAGACUCCUACGGGAGGCAGCAGUGGGGAAUAUUGGGCAAUGGGCGCAAGCCUGACCCAGCAACGCCGCGUGAAGGAAGAAGGCUUUCGGGUUGUAAACUUCUUUUAAGUGGGAAGAGUAGAAGACGGUACCACUUGAAUAAGCCACGGCUAACUACGUGCCAGCAGCCGCGGUAAUACGUAGGUGGCAAGCGUUGUCCGGAUUUACUGGGUGUAAAGGGCGUGCAGCCGGGCAUGCAAGUCAGAUGUGAAAUCUCAGGGCUUAACCCUGAAACUGCAUUUGAAACUGUAUGUCUUGAGUGCCGGAGAGGUAAUCGGAAUUCCUUGUGUAGCGGUGAAAUGCGUAGAUAUAAGGAAGAACACCAGUGGCGAAGGCGGAUUACUGGA
rnacentral:rRNA from 1 species